UAGACACCAAAGUAGACCACGUUAAGAAUCCCUAGAUAAAGAACUAAACCAAAUGGGACUCUACUCUAAUGUCUUUGGUUGGGGCGACCGCGGGGAAAUACAAAACCCCCACGUGGAACGGGAAUACUUUUCCUACAACCUAGAGCUCCCGCUCUAAUAAACAGAAAUUCUGACCAAUAAGAUCCGGCAAUGCCGAUCAACGGACCGAGUUACCCUAGGGAUAACAGCGCAAUCCCCUUUUAGAGCCCAUAUCGACAAGGGGGUUUACGACCUCGAUGUUGGAUCAGGACAUCCUAAUGGUGCAGCCGCUAUUAAG
rnacentral:rRNA from 1 species